AGGAUAAACGCUGGCGGCGUGCCUAACACAUGCAAGUCGAACGCCCUCUGGCAACAGAGGGAGUGGCGGACGGGUGAGUAACACGUGGGUACCUGCCCUUAAGUGGAGAAUACCGGCGAGAAAUCGCCGACAAUACUCCAUAGCUUUCGCAAGAAAGAAAGCCCGCAAGGGCGCUUGAGGAUGGGCUUGCGUCCGAUUAGCUAGUUGGUGGGGUAAAAGCUUACCAAGGCUGCGAUCGGUAGCUGGUCUGAGAGGAUGAUCAGCCACACUGGGAUUGAGAACGGCCCAGACUCCUACGGGGGGCAGCAGUGAGGAAUUUUCGUCAAUGGGGGCAACCCUGAACGAGCAACGCCGCGUGCAGGAAGAAGGUCUUCGGAUCGUAAACUGCUUUUCUCUGGGACGAGCAAGGACGGUACCAGAGGAAUCAGCCUCGGCUAACUACGCGCCAGCAGCCGC
rnacentral:rRNA from 1 species